GCAUUCUUAGCUCAACAGGAACAGAGCGGCAACCUUCUAAGUUGCGGGCCACAGGUUCAAGUCCUGCAGAAUGCU
rfam:Coccomyxa subellipsoidea C-169, whole genome shotgun sequence.